rnacentral:tRNA from 1 species
GCCCAGGUGGUGGAAUUGGUAUACACAAUAGGUUGAGGGCCUAUGCCCGCAAGGGCGUGCGGGUUCAAGUCCCGCCCUGGGCA